GUGUCUGUAGCCUAGUUGGUAAAGGCAGCACUCUAGCAAUGUGUCUCAGCAUAGGUCAUGAGGUUGUGAGUUUGACUCUCACCAGACACA
rnacentral:tRNA from 1 species